UACGUAGGGGGCGAGCGUUGUCCGGAAUCAUUGGGCGUAAAGCGCGUGUAGGCGGCUUGGUAAGUCCGGCGUGAAAUCUUGGGGCUCAACCCCAAGCCUGCGCUGGAUACUGCCUCGCUCGAGUCCGGGAGAGGAGAGUGGAAUUCCCAGUGUAGCGGUGAAAUGCGCAGAUAUUGGGAAGAACACCGGUGGCGAAGGCGGCUCUCUGGAACGGUACUGACGCUGAGACGCGAAAGCGUGGGGAGCGAACAGG
rnacentral:rRNA from 1 species